rfam:Rattus norvegicus chromosome 10, whole genome shotgun sequence.
GGGGAUUUAGCUCAGUGGUAGAGCACUUGCCUAGCAAGCGCAAGGCCCUGGGUUCAGUCCCUA